GACAGAGGUGCCAAGCGUUAGGCGGAAUUACUGGGCGUAAAGGGUUUGUAGGUGGCCCGCUAAGUCACACGUGAAAUCCCUCAGCUUAACUGGGGAACUGCGUGUGAGACUGGCAGGCUCGAGGGCAGGAGAGGAACGCGGAAUUCCAGGUGUAGCGGUGAAAUGCGUAGAGAUGCGGAGGAACACCGAUGGCGAAGGCAGCCCCCUGGGCUAGCACUGACGCUCAGGCACGAAAGCGUGGGGAGCAAACAGG
rnacentral:rRNA from 1 species